rnacentral:rRNA from 1 species
AUUGAACGCUGGCGGCAGGCCUAACACAUGCAAGUCGAACGAGUGGCGGACGGGUGAGUAAUGUCUGGGAAACUGCCUGAUGGAGGGGGAUCACUACUGGAAACGGUAGCUAAUACCGCAUACCAUCGGAUGUGCCCAGAUGGGAUUAGCUGGUUGGUGGGGUAACGGCUCACCAAGGCGAAGAUCCCUAGCUGGUCUGAGAGGAUGACCAGCAACACUGGAACUGAGACACGGUCCAGACUCCUAAGGGAGGCAGCAGUGGGGAAUAGUGCACAAUGGGCGCAAGCCUGAUGAAGCCAUGCCGCGGGUAUGAAGAAGGCCUUCGGGUGGUAAAGGACUUUCAGCGAGGAGGCGUUACUCGCAGAAGAAGCACCGGCUAACUCCGUGCCAGCAGCCGCGGUAAUAC